CCUUAUACGAUGAUUACUCACGAUGAGUGUCCACACAGAUUGAUAGUUCACAAGCGAAAGCUUGUAGCUAACAUAGCUCUUUAACAAUUUGGAAAGCUGACAAAACAAUCUUUAAGAUUGUUUGUAAAGUUCUCAAAGUAUUCUUAAUUGAAUACUCCAAACAACACAUUCAAGUGUUCUUGGAAUUUGAGUCCGGCAAAAUCGAGUCUGCAUCAUGUAUAAAAAUUGCAGACAACUUUGGUGACUUGUUCAUCAACUCGAAACUCCUUCGGGUUGUAU
rnacentral:misc_RNA from 1 species